rnacentral:lncRNA from 1 species
AUGAAUUCAGCUUAUGAUCCUGAAUUUAUAUUGUUAAAGCAGUUAAUGAUAUUAUUUCAGAGUUAUAACUGACUUAGCAAAGUCACGUUAUUUAUUUAAGCAAGAUGAAAUUAGAUUUUAUCUUUAUUCAAGUCGUGAUUUAUUUCUGACUCGUGAUUUAAUUAAAUCUGCGGAUUUAAUUUAAAUAUUAGAACAACAAACGAAUUAAAUCUACGGAUUUAAUUUAGAUUCAUUUUAUAAUUUAUCGAUUUAAGCGAGAAAUCACAUGUCGAAAUACGAGAUUUAUUUAAAUAAACAGUAUCAAGCAUAUACGAGCACACGAUCCAUCUUACAGUUACAGAAUCACCGAGACAGAGAAAAUACAUCAAUAAUUCUCCUCUACAUUUUUUUUUCCUUUCUUUUUCUUCUCUUUUUCUUUCCAUUAAUUUUGUUCCCCACUCCAUUUUACCACUAAAUCUACUUUUUGACUUUCACCACCAUUUUCCCCACCACUUUCACCACCAACUCAAUUAUGCAACAACACAUAUUGUUCCAGCCAUCAAGUCUUUUCUUCCCUCACCAAAACGUGUAGAAGAAGUUGAGAAAGGGAGAGAGAGUUUCCUCCAACUCCAAAUUGUAACUUGAAGAGGUAUAUACUAAGCUUCUUUAUUUUGAAUUCAGUUGCAUAUCAUCCAAACGGUUCCCAAAAAUUCUCAAAUUAAUUGUGUAUCAUCUUUCAUACAUUUUCUAUAUUUUGGUAAAAU